rnacentral:lncRNA from 1 species
CCGAACACUCAGCCAGUCAGGGUUGAUUUUCCAUGAGAGAACUGCAUCUGCUUCCUUCCAUUCUUCCACAGGAAACUGUGGAACACCGUCAGGGGCCACAGCAACCUCCCUCAAACCAGCAGUGAGCAAUCACUGGCCAGCACACACUCGCACAAUUACACACAUCUCUGCCCUACUAUAUACACCGUCUCAUUAUACUAUCAGCUCAAGAAGCUGUUGGCACAAAUUACCUCAGACCCAUUCACCCACACACACACUUUUAUAGUUUAGAAUAUUUAUCUGUUCUCUUGCCUUUCUUUACAUACAUAUAUCCUACAUCUAUGCCUGGUGACCUGUAUUAACAGCCAUCAGCCCUUUACAUGAGAACACGGCUAACGUCUCUGGAUUAAAGCCAUGGAUCUGCUCUUGUACUCUUCUAUUGUGCUCUGUGUGUCUCUCUCCCUCAUCUCAGCAGUGACCACAGCAAUGGCCAACACCAGCUCAGUCACUAAUACCACAACCACAGCAUCUGUAACACGCCACACAGAGGGCAAUACUACUUCCAGAAACUUCAGUACCAUCUCUCCCUCCAGCUCACCGGGACAACCCAAGCUGUUCAGCCCAACGUCAGCCGCAUUUACGUCUCACACCAGUGAGAGCUCUAAUACAAAAUCACGGCAAAUCACCGCCUCCUCUGCAGGGACCAAUCAAUCAGGUCAUGAGGUGCUAUUAGAAACUUCUACACCUGGGCAGGCCUCAAACAUUUCUUUAAGAAGAUCAACAGAUGAGCCCACAGCUGUCCCGCCAACACAGCCACCAGGCAACAGCCUCACUAUGUUAGCCUUCGGUGUGAUGAGCUUCAUUCUCGUUUUGAUUAUAGUUAUGAUCAUCUUAGUAACAGCUGUAAAUCUCAGAGGACGGUGUCAUAACACAAAGGAAGAAGGUGUUAAGAACUAUGACUCAGUGAUAUCAGAAAGCAAUUUGACCAGCACUGGAGAGAAAGAAAGCAUCACACUCGUCUCUGUGAGGUCCAUAAACACAGACGCUGACACUGAUUCACCACAGAUCUCAUCGGUUCACAGUACAAUACUGGACAGUGAGGACCAAGAACCCAGUAGAGAUCAUCUUCUCAGUGGCAGAGCACACUAAACUUCAAUCAUUCUACAGUAAUAGAGCUCUUCAUAAACAUGCCCCUUUGAGUCCAAUUACUCUAGAUUCUGGAACACCUGGUCACGUCAUGGAACUAGUAUCCGGAUUGUACUUUGAUAAGAUUUUAACCACCUGCAUUUACACUUAGUAGUCCACAAACUGCAUCUCAGGUUAAUUUGACUGAAUCUGAUUGCUGUCAGGAUGUAGUAUGCAAAAUCACAUAUUGCAAAGUUAUUAUUCGUUGUAUGGGGAGACUUGGUCACUUAAUGUGUCUUGAGUGUCAGCCAAACCACAUUUAAAUGCAGUAAGUACAAACUCACCCAAAAUGCAUUUAAAACAGGUCCAGUUCUGCUCACUCAAACACCUUCAGGAGGUGGUAUGAGAUGCAUUUGAGCCACAGGUUUUAGUAGUGAUAACACAUCCAGCUACACUAAUCCUACUAUAACUCAAACUCCAGUUAUUUUGGACAACAAGCAAAUUUGAAUAUUUAGUCCCCCACAGCAAACCAAGACAUAUUUAACUAUGAAAGGUAAAUGCAUGUGGCUAUAAUCUUAUCAGCAUAAAAUUCAGAAACUAAUCAGAUUAAGUCACCACGAGUUAAUUUUUUUUUUUUUUUUUUUGGAAAAUUCUGCAUGAAGGCUGGCCACUCAUUCCAGUGUAUACUUAAUAAUGAAUUACAAUGUUGUUUUAUCAAAAUGUCUUCAAAAUUCAGUUACUAAAGUGUCAGCAGUACCAUUCAUAUUUGUUGGGUGAAAUUGUGAAAGGACUUGUUAACUUAUUGACAGUAAGUGUUUUUGAUUAACUCUAGUUUCAUAUAGAUAGACAACAUUAGAUAAAUAAAAUCAAACAAGACCCAGGAAGAAUAGAUUGA